rnacentral:tRNA from 1 species
GGCGAUGUCCGGCAUGUGCCACGUUUACACCGUGGAUGUCAUCGGUUCGAUCCCGGUAGGGCCCA